AGUUAAAAAGCUUAAAGAAAGCAGGUGACUUGAAAUCACAAGAAAGGAGUUUAAAUCUCCUAUUGACUU
rnacentral:tRNA from 1 species